GUUAAGUUGUGGCCUACUGUGGGAGAAAGGAAUUGCGACGUGCAAAGAAGUACAAAUAGGCAAUAGGAUAAACAUAUUUUUUAGUAGUGAAGGUGGCCGUAUUUCCCAGAAUACCACUGCAUGGCUGAUGUAGAUGUGGCACAGAGUGCUAUGCAAAUGGUAGCACGCCAGGCACAAACCCGCACGCUAAGCUAGCGGUAGCACACCAGGCACGGACCCGCACGCUAAGCUAGCGGUAGCACGCCAGGCACGGACCUGCACGCUAAGCUAGCGGUAGCACAUCAGGCACAGACCCACGCGCUACACUAGCGGUAGCACACCAGGCACAAACCCACGUGCUAAGCUAGCGGUAGCAUGCCAGGCAAAAACCUGAGUGUUACGCUAACCACAGCACGAGAUGCUCAGACCCGAGUGCUACAUCAGCGACGGCACACAGAAGCACACACAACUAGCACACAUGCUGCGGCGCGCAGGGGAGCAGGCAGGCUUACCUUCUACAGGGGAGAAAAGAACGGUGAAGGAGGAGGAGGAGGAGGAGGA